AACGCACAUUGCGCCCCCUGGUAUUCCGGGGGGCAUGCCUGUCCGAGCGUCAUUACAACCCUCAAGCUCAGCUUGGUAUUGGGCCCCGCCGACCCGGCGGGCCCUAAAGUCAGUGGCGGUGCCGUCCGGCUCCGAGCGUAGUAAUUCUUCUCGCUCUGGAGGUCCGGUCGUGUGCUCGCCAGCAACCCCCAAUUUUUUUCAGGUUGACCUCGGAUCAGGUAGGGAUACCCGCUGAACUUAA
rnacentral:misc_RNA from 3 species